GUGCUCGCUUCCGCAGCAUAUAUACUAACAUUGGAACCAUACAGAGAAGAUGAGCAUGGCCCCUGCACGAGGAGGACAUGCAAAUUCGUGAAGCGUUCCAUAUUUUU